CUAUGGGCUUGGAUUUAUGGCAGGCCUGGCCCCAUGGGCAUCUCAUAAUGUCCCAUGCCAGAGCAGACCAUAGCAUGGAACCACUGCCUCACCUCCUAGCCCAUAGGCUUCUAGCAUUGAAGCAGGUUGUACAAUG